rnacentral:lncRNA from 1 species
UUCAAACGGAUAUGGAUCCCUCUCACCGAGCCGAGGUUAUUCUCGUAAAAAUGUGUGACCCACCAUCUUUCUUCUGUGCCAAUAAACGAUGGACAACCGGGAAUCGAACCGAGUCUGGAUCGUCGCCAUAUUUGCAAUACCGAUAUAAUUAAUAGUUGGAGGAUAUCCCAUGAAAAUAUUUACCAAAUCUGUCCAUUUAAUUUUCACCAGGU